rnacentral:rRNA from 1 species
GGGAGCGUUUUCUNGAAUUNCUGGGGGUAAAGAGGGGGUGGGCGGGCGUUUAAUUUUGUGUGAAAAACCCCGGGUCAANCCCCGGAAGCCGCUUGAAAAUGCAGGGCUUGAGGGCAGGAGAGGGAAGGGGAAUUCCCGGUGUAGCGGGGAAAAGCGUAGAUAUCGGGAGGAACACCCGUGGGGAAGGGGGCUUCCUGGGCCGCACCUGACGCUGAGGGGCGAAAAACGGGGGAGCGAACAGGAUUAGAAACCCCGGUAGUCCCCCCCCUAAACGAUGGGUGCUAGGGUGGGAGGUAUCCACUCCUUCAGUGCCGCAGCUAACNCA